CCUACGUGCGGCAGCAGUGAGGAAUAUUGGUCAAUGGCCGCAGGGCUGAACCAGCCAAGUCGCGUGAGGGAUGACGGUCCUAUGGAUUGUAAACCUCUUUUGUCAGGGAGCAAAGGGCGCCACGUGUGACUCAUUGAGAGUACCCGAAGAAAAAGCAUCGGCUAACUCCGUGCCAGCAGCCGCGGUAAUACGGAGGAUGCGAGCGUUAUCCGGAUUUAUUGGGUUUAAAGGGUGCGCAGGCGGAGGUGCAAGUCAGCGGUCAAAUUGCGGGGCUCAACCCCGUACUGCCGUUGAAACUGCAUCCCUUGAGUGCGCGAGAAGUAUGCGGAAUGCGUGGUGUAGCGGUGAAAUGCAUAGAUAUCACGCAGAACUCCGAUUGCGAAGGCAGCAUACCGGCGCGCAACUGACGCUCAUGCACGAAAGCGUGGGUAUCGAACAGGAUUAGAUACCCCUGUAGUC
rnacentral:rRNA from 1 species